AUGCAUGAUCUUCUUCAUGAUUUGGCAGAGUCGCUCUCUAAAGAAGACUGUUUCAGAUUAGAAGAUGAUAAGGUGACAGAAAUACCAUGCACCGUCCGUCGUCUGUCUGUUCGUGUUGAGAGCAUGAAACAACACCAGCACAGUAUCUGCAAGCUACAUCAUUUGCGCACUGUUAUCUGCAUUGACCCACUUACAGAUGAUGUGAGUGAUGUUUUCAGUCAGGUACUUCAAAACUUGAAGAAGUUACGUGUACUCUAUUUGUGCUUCUACAAUAGUAACAAGCUACCCAAAUCUGUGGGUAAGCUGAAACACCUUCGGUAUUUAAACCUCAUUAAAACUUCCAUUGCCGAAUUGCCUGGAUCAUUAUGUGCUCUUUACCACCUACAGUUACUUCUGUUGAACCAUAAAGUUACGAGUUUGCCUCAGAAACUAUGUAAAUUAAGCAAGUUGCGGCAUCUUGAAGGGUAUCGUGAUCUGGGAUACAGGGUGUAUGAAGUAGCUCUGCCUCAAAUCCCUUAUAUAGGCAAGCUAACUUCGCUCCAGCAUGUUGAAGAUUUUUGUGUGCAAAAGCAGAAGGGGUAUGAGUUGCGGCAGCUCAGAGACAUGAAAGAGCUUGGUGGCAGUUUAAGAGUCAGAAAUGUCGAGAAUGUCACUGGAAAGAAUGAAGCCUUAGAGUCGAAGCUAUAUCAGAAAAGUCAUCUUGGAAGCUUGGCCCUUGUCUGGAGCUGCAAUAAUGGCAUGAAUGCAGAUGACAGUUUACAGUUGGAGAUUCUAGAAGGUUUGAUGCCACCGCCUCAACUGAAAGGCCUCGAGAUCGAGGGUUACAAAUCUGCCACAUAUCCAAGUUGGUUACUUGAGGGUUCGUAUUUUGAGAAUUUGGAAUCUUUUAAGCUUGCCGACUGCAGUGCCUUAGAAGGCCUGCCACUCAAUACCGAGCUCUUCAGGCAUUGCUCAAAACUAGAGCUCGAGAAUGUCUCGACUCUGAAAACGUUAUCGUGUCUUCCAGCAGCCCUCACAUGCUUAUCAAUUAGCAGUUGCCCACUGCUUAUAUUUAUUAGCAGUGAUGAGCUAGAACAGCAUGAUCAGAGGGAAAACAUCAUGGGAACAGACUACUUGGCAUCACAACUUGCUUCGAUAUGGAAGGUGGAUUCUGUAUUGGGAAUUAAGGAAGUAUUAUCGUCUGAACAUUCAUCUCUGAAGCAAAUGAUGGCAUUAAUGGAUGCUGACAUGUCACAUCUUCAAACCAUUGCAAGUGCUCUAGAAAGAGAGAACGGCGAGGUAAUGCUGAAAGAUGAUAUAAUUAAAGCAUGGAUAUGUUGCCACGAGCAGAGGCUGAGAUUCAUUUAUGGAAGAAGCAUCAGCUUGCCGUUGGUUCCACCGUCAGGUCUUUGCCAACUUCAUCUUUCUUCGUGCAGUGUUACAGAUGGGGCAUUAGCUGUUUGCCUUGGCGGCCUCACGUCACUGAGAAGUUUGUUCUUAGCACAGAUCAUGACUUUAACUACACUUCCGCAGCAAGUGGUCCUCCAACAUUUGACAAAGCUGGACUUUUUGUUCAUCAGAUAUUGCUGGUGCCUCAAGUCAUUAGGAGGCUUACGAGCUGCUACCUCUCUUUCAGAAGUUAGAUUGAUUUCCUGCCCUUCUUUAGACUUGGCACAUGGAGCAGGUUUAUUGCCGUUGUCUCUUGAGGAGCUCUGUAUAUAUGAGUGCAUGGUUGCAGAUAAUUUCUUCAGUAGUGACUUGCCGCACCUGAAAAGUCUUAGCAUGUAUGGCUGCAGAAGCUCCACUUCCUUGUCUAUCGGUCAUCUGACUUCCCUUGUAUCCUUAUCAGUGGGAGGUUUCCCUGAUCUGUGCUUUCUUGAAGGCUUGCCAUUCUUGCAACUUCACCACGUACAUUUGACAGAUGUCCCGAAGCUCGUUGCGAACUGCAUUUCACAGUUUCGGGUGCAGCAAUCACUCUAUGUUAGCAGCCUCGUGAUGCUCAACCACAUGCUCUGGGCUGAAGGUUUUACAGUUCCACCAUUCCUAUCUCUCGAAGGAUUCAAGGAAUCAUCCGUUUCGUUUGAAGAAUCUGCAAAAUUCACAUCCGUCAAGUGCCUUAGAUUAUGUGGGUGUGAAAUGAGGUCCCUACCAGGAAAUCUGAAGUGCUUCUCUAGUCUGAGGACACUCGAUAUCUAUGACUGCCCCAACAUAUCAUCUUUAUCAGAUCUGCCAUCCUCCAUCCAACAUAUAUGUGUUUGGCGUUGUGAACGCUUGAACGAGAGCUGCCAAGCGCCUGACGGAGAAAGCUGGCCAAAGAUUGCGCAUAUCCGCUGGAAGGAUUUCAGAUGA
rnacentral:rRNA from 1 species